UACGUAGGGUGCAAGCGUUGUCCGGAAUUAUUGGGCGUAAAGAGCUCGUAGGCGGUCUGUCGCGUCGGCUGUGAAAUCCCGAGGCUCAACCUCGGGUCUGCAGUCGAUACGGGCAAACUGGAGUGUUGCAGGGGAGACUGGAAUUCCUGGUGUAGCGGUGAAAUGCGCAGAUAUCAGGAGGAGCACCGGUGGCGAAGGCGGGUCUCUGGGCCGAUACUGACACUGAGGAGCGAAAGCGUGGGGAGCGAACAGG
rnacentral:rRNA from 1 species